rnacentral:lncRNA from 1 species
AGAUAGAGAAAGAGCUUUAAAAUCCCAAGGAUCCUGCAAAAUGUUUAUUUGGUGUACUAGUCGAAUAAUAGUAUCUAAAAAUAUUGAAACUGUUUUAAAACACAUUAUAGGCAUGAGGAUGAUAUAGAGCACUUACAUAAAUACCAAAAUCAGAUAAAUAUCUCUUCAAAGUUUAUUUUGAGACUUUCUUCAAAAAUUAAACUUCAGACUGUUCAGGAUAGCAUAAUAGCAUAGGAGGCGAAUUAAAAAGAAUUGAUUUACUUACAAGAAAAGAUAUCACAAACAUUAAA